rnacentral:rRNA from 1 species
GACGAACGCUGGCGGCGUGCUUAACACAUGCAAGUCGAACGGAAAGGCCCUGCUUUUGUGGGGUGCUCGAGUGGCGAACGGGUGAGUAACACGUGAGCAGCCUGCCCUUGACUUUGGGAUAACUUCAGGAAACUGGGGCUAAUACCGGAUAGGAGCUCCUGCUGCAUGGUGGGGGUUGGAAAGUUUCGGCGGUUGGGGAUGGACUCGCGGCUUAUCAGCUUGUUGGUGGGGUAGUGGCUUACCAAGGCUUUGACGGGUAGCCGGCCUGAGAGGGUGACCGGCCACAUUGGGACUGAGAUACGGCCCAGACUCCUACGGGAGGCAGCAGUGGGGAAUAUUGCACAAUGGGCGGACGCCUGAUGCAGCAACGCCGCGUGCGGGAUGACGGCCUUCGGGUUGUAAACCGCUUUCGCCUGUGACGAAGCGUGAGUGACGGUAAUGGGUAAAGAAGCACCGGCUAACUACGUG